rnacentral:rRNA from 1 species
GAUGAACGCUGGCGGCGUGCCUAAUACAUGCAAGUCGAGCGAAUGGAUUAAGAGCUUGCUCUUAUGAAGUUAGCGGCGGACGGGUGAGUAACACGUGGGUAACCUGCCCAUAAGACUGGGAUAACUCCGGGAAACCGGGGCUAAUACCGGAUAACAUUUUGAACCGCAUGGUUCGAAAUUGAAAGGCGGCUUCGGCUGUCACUUAUGGAUGGACCCGCGUCGCAUUAGCUAGUUGGUGAGGUAACGGCUCACCAAGGCAACGAUGCGUAGCCGCACUGAGAGGGGCAUCGGCCACACUGGGACGGAGACACGGCCCAGACUCCUACGGGAGCAGAAGGAGGGAAUCUUCCGCAAUGGACGAAAGUCUGACGGAGCAAGGCCGCGUGAGUGAUGAAGGCUUUCGGGUCGGAAAACUCUGUUGUUAGGGAAGAACAAGUGCUAGUUGAAUAAGCUGGCACCUUGACGGUACCUAACCAGAAAGCCACGGCUAACUACGUGCCAGCCGCCGCAGUAA